AAAAUAAUAGUAAUAAUAGUGAAGGAGAAGAAUGUAUCAAAGUAUGAUUAAAUGUACAUCGCAUUUUUUUCUUUUUCUUUUU
rnacentral:ribozyme from 1 species